GGAAAAAAAGUUUUGGGGAUUUUACUCAAAUAUAAAGAUCUGAAAUAUUUGCAGACUGGUGUGAGCACUGAGGAUGAGGAGCCCAGAGCUGCAUCCUAGAAGUGGUCCCAUGGAUGAGUCCCUCUAUCGCUCCACCUGCCCUUAUUGCCUCAGAUUGUGAAGCACAGCACAGCAACAAGCUCUGGGACGAAGGCACACUCCCCUCUGGUGAAUUCAUCAGAAUAAAGCUGCAGAAUGGGAACCGCUGUGUUGAGUCGGUCGUAGGAUGUGGUGUUCAGCGCCUGUAAAAACAUGCUUGUAGUUUGAAUAAAGCUUUGUUUCAUGUGUUGUUGACUUUUA